GUCGGAUCGAUUUAGUUGAAGACAUACAUUGCUGCCCUGCUGAAGCGAGAGAAGAACUCCCUGUAGAGCACAGAAUGGGCGCCCCUCCUGCUGGCUCCGCUGUAUGAAUACACCACAACGUAGUCCAAAUGGAUACCAUACCUGUCAUUAUGGACAAACUUCAAGAUGCUAGACCACCCCAUGUUCUGCUGAGUAAAAAAACACAAGUGCAAUGUAUGUUGCGUGGCUUCUUCUG